GUUUUGAAGGUUCAUCCAAGUUGUAACAUGUAUCGGAACUUCUUUCAUUUUUAUGGCUGAAUAAUAAUCGCAUUGUAUGAAAACCAUAUUUUUGUAAAUUGUUCUUGUAUACUGUGACCUAACUGAACUAAUUUAUUAGUCCUAUUAGAUUUGGGGGGUGGUAAUGCAGGGAAUGUAAAUUUUCUGGAUUUUCUUUACAUCAUGGUAUCUGUGAAUAAAGACAUUUUUAUUUCUUCCUCUUCAAUUUGAAUGCCUCUCUUUGUCUUGUUGCACUAGCUCCAAUACAAUGCUGAAUAGAAGUGGCAAGAGUGGACAUCCUUACCUUGUUCUAAAUCUUAAGGGGAAGGUAUCCAGUCUUUUCUUGUUACAUAUAAUAACGUUAGUUCUAACUUUUUUGUAGAUGCCCAACCUUUCAGGUUGAUUAAAUUCCCUUUUAUUUCUUGUAUGUUGAGUGUUUUUUUAAUUAUGAAUGGGUGUUAGAUUUUGUCAAAUGUUUUUUCUAUGUUACUGUUAAGAUGAUCAUGUCAUUUUUGUCCUUUAUUCUAUUAAUAUAAUGUAUUAAAUUAGUUGUUUUUCUUUUUUUCACCAUCCGUCUACCCAGAUGAAGAGUUGUUUUUCUAAUGUUGAACCAGCCGUGCAAUCCUGGGAUAAAUCCUAUUUACUCACUUGGUCAGGGUUUUAGCAUCAAGACUCUGCUGACCUUAUUAUGAACUGAAUUGAGAAGUAUUCCUUAUACUUUUUGGAAAAAAGUUUGCAUCAUUGUUAUUUCUUCCACAAAUGGAUGAGAGAAUUCACCUGGGCCUAGAGCUUUCUCUGUCACAGUGGGACCACCAUUGCUUUGCUUGGACUCUAGUUCACUCUUACACAGUCAGAAAAUUGUCCCCAGGCAGGGAGACAGAGACAACAGGAGGGGAUCUGUACAGGAGGAAGGCCUGGUGUGCGAUAGGAGCCCAAGAAAGGUAAGAGAGUGCCUAAGCAGUUUUUAUGACCUUAAGCAGCAAGAGAGGAGUGCUUCAGUUACUCUGGCAGUGUAACAAAUUACUGCAAAACUUAAUAGCUUAAAACAACAAUAAUCAUGUAUUAUCUCUCCGGGUUUAUGUGGGUCAGGAAUUUAUAUAGAGGCACAGCAGGAAUGGCUUAUCUCUGCUCCACAAUAUCUGAGGCCUUAGUCAGAAGACUCAAAGGCUGGGAGCUGAAAACAUCUUAAUGCUCAUUUACUCACAUGUCUGGCAGCUGAUGCUGGCUUUCAACUGGGGCUUUAAUUCCUCUCUACAUGAGCCUUUUCAUGUGGUCUGAACUUCCUCGCAAUAUGAUGGCUGGAUUCUGAGGUCCACCAUUCAGAUGAGAGAGAUGGAAAGAGCCAGCCAGAAGCUGUGUUGCUUUCUAACCUAGAAAGUCAUGCAGCAAGGCUGGGUGCAGUGGCGCAUGCCUGUAAUCCUAACACUUUGGGAGGCCAAGGUGGGCAGAUC